GGAGAGAUGCUCGAGUGGCUGAAGAGGCGCGUCUGGAAAGCGCGUGUACCCCCAAAGGGUAUCCAGGGUUCGAAUCCCUGUCUCUCCG
rnacentral:tRNA from 1 species